GACAGAGGGUGCAAACGUUGCUCGGAAUCACUGGGCGUAAAGGGCGCGUAGGCGGGAAUGUAAGUCGGGCGUGAAAUCCCCCAGGCUCAACCUGGGAACUGCACUCGAAACUGCGUUUCUUGAGUAUCGGAGAGGAAAGCGGAAUUCCUGGUGUAGAGGUGAAAUUCGUAGAUAUCAGGAGGAACACCAGUGGCGAAGGGCGGCUUUCUGGA
rnacentral:rRNA from 1 species